rnacentral:lncRNA from 1 species
GUGGGGUCCACGGGGGCCACCAAGGGGCCCGGGGACUGGGGGGGGUGACCAAGGGGACGUCGGGGACGCGGUGGCACCUGCUCGAGCGCCUCGGCCAGGUGGCGGUCCAGGCGCCCCUCGCGCUUGCGGAGCUUGGCGCUGUCCCACUGCAGCCCCUCCACCGUGGUGCCCAUCUCCAGCACCUUGGUCUCGGCCGACGUCGCCUUGUCCUGCAGCUCCGCCAGCUGGGGGGGGGGCGGGGACAGCGGUCACGUGACCCCCGGCGGGGUUGGUGACGUCAUCCCGUUGGGAGAUGACGUCAUCCCAUGGGGACAUCGAUGGUGUCACCCCGUGGGGACGCAACGUCAUCCCGUGGGGACGCCGGUGACGUCAUCCCGUUGGGAGAUGACGUCAUCCAUGGGGACGUUGGUGACGUCAUCCCAUGGGGAGAUGACAUCAUCCCAUGGGGACAUCGGUGACGUCAUCCCGUUGGGAGAUGACGUCAUCCACGGGGACACUGGUGACGUCAUCCCGUUGGGAGGUGACGUCAUCCCAUGGGGACAUCGAUGGUGUCACCCCGUGGGGACAUCGGUGACGUCAUCCCAAUGGGAGAUGGUGUCAUCCCAUAGGGGCAUUGGUGACGUCAUCCCGUUGGGAGAUGACGUCAUCCCGUGGGGACAUCAAUGGUGUCACCCCAUGGGGACGUUGGUGACGUCAUCCCAUUGGGAGGUGACGUCAUCCAUGGGGACGUCGAUGACGUCAUUCCAUUGGGAGGUGACAUCAUCCCAUGGGGACAUUGGUGACGUCACCCCGUUGGGAGGUGACGUCAUCCCCUUGGAGAUGACGUCAUCCACGGGGACGCUGGUGACGUCACCCCACCAGUUGCUCCCAAUCCCGUCCAGCUCCUCCCAGUUGUCCCCUACACCCCUCCCAGCUCCUCCCAGUUGCUCCCAGUUGUCCCCCACGCCCCCUCCGGCUCUUCCCAGUUGCUCCCAGUGUCUUCCGAGCGCCUCCCAGUCAUUCCCAGUUACCUAUUCGCUCCGCUG